rnacentral:rRNA from 1 species
AUGCUCUCCACCGCACGCUGCAGUGUCCUCCCCGUCCGUCCGCAACCUUGCGUCGCCGUCCCCGUCCCCCGCGGGCGCGCGCGGGCGGUCACCGCCGUCUCGGUGAGGCCGCGCCGCCGAGGCGCGCGCCGGGACCGCUCGUGGGAGGACGACGGCGGCGGCGGGAGCGGCGACGAGGACGGCAUCGACGAGAGCUUCUUCGGGGACGCGCGAGACGAGGAAGACGAGCCGGAGGAGGAGGAGCCGGGGCGACGGGCGGCCGGCUCGCCGGAGUCGGCCGCGGGGCAGCUGCGCGGGUCCGACGUGCUGCGGGCGCUGCAGCGGGCGGCGGCGGCGAAGGAGGCCAAGAAGAGGAGCAGAAGGAGCGCGGGCGGGGCGCGGCUGGCUGCGCGGCGGCAGGGGAAGGGCGGCGGCGCGAAGGCCGCGGAGGAGGCCGUGGCGGGGGAGGCGAGGCCGAUAGAGAUAAGGCGCGAGUGGGCGCCGAGGAUCCGGGAGCUGGAGCUCAGGGUGCAGCAGCUCCUCCACAAGCACCAGUAG